CACCACCUCGUCAAAGAAAUGUCAACAAAGCUAAUGAAUGAGAGAAACUUGAAAUUUGCAAAAACUUGAACUAAAAAUUCUUACAUUUCAAGGAGGAAAAUCAGUUAUUUGUGUUUAAAGUUCGCUGAAAACGAAUGCCACUCAGGAGGAGGAACCGAAUGACCGGGAAAAGGCUGAGCCCGACCCAUCUAUGUCCGUUGUCGGUAGAAGCAAAAACAGAAAAUAUGAUCCAGAUUACUUAAAAUACGGAUUUACAUGUGCGGAGAACGAUGAUUGUCCAAAACCCGUGUGUAUUGUCUGCAGGGAGACUUUGGCCAACAGCUGCUUGAAGCCGUCGUUAUUACACCGUCACUUGUCAACAAAGCAUCCACCUUAUGCUGACAAGAAACUUCAUUCUUCCAGCGGCUGUUGAAGCAAAAAGAACUUUCGAAGCUUUUCUCAGCAUCAGGAUUGGAAAACAUGAACGCACUUGAAGCUUCUUUUCGGAUUAGUUAUCACGUGGCAAAGUCUGGAAAAGCUCACACCAUCGCUGAAAAUUUAAUUGCUCCAUGUUUACAGGAUGCCGUGAAGUGCAUACUGGGAGAAGGUCCUGCUCUUAAAUGUAUAACAUCCGCCGAAGUCGAACGCUGCGACUAAAUAUCGAGCAACUGCGGGACGCUUGGAUUGCAUAGGAAAACGCGCAGUAGCUGGAGGCAGCGUUACCCACGAAAGAGCAGCUUGGCGCAGCUACUCUUGAAAAUGGCUGGGGGAGCAUCGGGUCCGCCACAGGUAGCACUGCUGUAGCGCUACUAGGUAUAAGGGUAUAACCUCCUUACGGACAAGUGUGAGGUAAUCGUAACGUGGAAGCAACAAUUCGAUGAGCAUCUGAACGGCGAUUCAGUAGAGCGCGAGUACGGUAUGGCAACUGAUCUUGGUGCACGAGCAGAAGACAAAUGGAUUCAAGAGCAUGUCGUAAGGAUGUCGAACGACAGCCCGGUAAAGAUGGCCUUGAAACCAGUUUGUCAGGGACGAGACGAAAAGGUGGGCAGCGGGCAAGGUGGAAGACGACCUACGGACGCUACGUAGAUUGCAGAGCUGGCGAACUGUAGCCAUGGGCUGAGUGGAAUGGAGACGACUCCUACGUACAGAAAAGGCCACCCUGACAUGUAGCGAGAAUGUCAAAAGAGUGACCAGCUGAAAUUAUGGGCUCUAUUACAGAAGUCGUGUAGAUUCAACUCGAACAAGUAUUUCAAACGAGACGACGCUUCUAUAAUACGGCUCUAUAUUAGGUAGAAAAUCGGACAAAGGCCAUCACCUUACUUAGGCAACGAUACGAGUCUGUGAGGUGUCAACGAUGAAGACAAGAAAGUGCGUGGAGAAUAUUGAGGUCGACUGGACAGUAGGACUGAGAAUAGCAAAGAAGACUCGGGAUCGAUAAUCGAUUUUUCGCCGUAUGCGCAGAGUAAGAUGAGGUAGAUGAGAGAAUAUUUUGGAGGAGCUUUUUCGGUAGUAUCAGAAAAACUCAUAAAUUUAAUACACAAAACUCAUGGUUAAACUCGUGAAUAAAACAUGUUUCUUUUUAUUUACUUUUAUCAAACAAAAAUUUUUGCGUAAGAUUCUUGACACAUUGUGAAACCAAAAAAAAACAAAUACAUAUUGUCCGGAGCUCAGUUACUAUGCUUUACUGAUUGAAAGUUUGAAAGAAAAAAAAUGCAACAUAUCCCCGUUAUCCCUAUUAAUUUUGCACAAAUUGCAAGUCCACUAGCAACUUCAAAACACUGAUACUAUAACCUAAUAACGAUGUCUCUGAUAAUGCAUCGGUGUUGGUUGCUGUUGGGAUGGAUUUGUAAUCGGCGGCGGUCGCACCGGCGGAUAGCCCUGCGUAAUGCUGCCCCCCUUCGGCAUCUGAGGGUGCGAUAAUGCGAUACACAGGGGAGCCAAUAAAAAAGAAGUUAAAACAAAACAAAUAUUUUGUUGCUACUGCUAGCGUAUGGUAGAGAUUCACACAAGGUUAUUGCGAGUGACGAAAUGUGGUUUAUGCAGACUGAAUACGACAGAGUAGAACGGUGCGGUGUCGCGAAAAUUUUAAGCAGUGCAAAAAGCCAACGAUGGAAGGAAAUGUAGACAAAACCAAAACAGAUGAAAUUAGGAUUUUUCUUAGAAAUAUAUACAGUUGAGAUUGAAUAUAAAAAGCAUAAAAUAAUAAAUAUGAUUGACCGUGUUAUCAAUGGGACUAAGAAGCUAGUUAACAAUAUUUAGUUAGAUCAAUAGCGCUUACUUGCUGGUUGGAGGCAAUGGCAUGCAUUGGAAUUGCCCCCGGCCGGAGAGCAGAAGUGUACACAAUUCCU